GGAGCGUUUGGUAGUCCCAUGGUCUCUCCUUUUUGGACCAGGAGAGGCAGAGGAGGUUGGACGAGGACUUUGGCUCAGCUCAGAAUCUGCAACAACAAGAACACUGGACCUUAUUCAAUAUGUUUGCUCAGUGUGGCCUACCAGAGUCAUUGGAGAGGCUGACUGUGUGGCAGCAGUGCACGUGACUCAAAGGAGAGUAGGUUUUUGGCAGACUACUGCACGUCGGAACCUGUCGAGACACAACGCAGGAGAACGGAUCACAGAUCAUCACGUUGACAUUUCUCCUGGACGUGUGGGAAUAAAGCAACAAAAUACGGAAUAGAGGGAGGCUCUCUGUCUCCUUCUUGAAGUAGAACGGUCCGAGCUGGAAGUGUCUCAGCCUUUGCUCAGCAUCCAGGGAGAGCUGGCACAUUUUUCGAUGGGUGUAAGGUGACAGUGCCCGAGUCGUGGAGGCAACAGUGGGCCUCUGGUAGCCUGGCUCUUGACAACCUCUGUGUUUUCGUGGUUUUGCUUCACAGGAAAUAUGGCGGCACGGGGAGGGGGAGCGUCUGCAUGUGGACCAUCCUACAUAAUUUGGAGACCUCCUUGCCAUAGAUGAAAAUGGCCUCAAUUGAACGAGGCUGGCCAUCUGUGAGGACAAAAAUACAAUUCAUUCAGCUUUCUAACAACCGCUGAAUUAUCACAACUCUAAUGGCCUCUAACUUCAACUUCCUGUCUGUAAUGGCAUCUGGGAUAAAUAAGAUUAGAUCAAAUAUUCAUUCUAGUCUAAUACAAUAAAACAAAAGCAUUUAGGGAGCCAAAUUGCUAUUCAGGGAAAUCGUAUCACACUAAAACUAUUUCUAAGAGAACGAUGAACGAUUGGACGCUGAUGCUGCCAAUUCAUUAAAGCUUGAUUGAACUGAAUCAAA